GGGGGGGGGGGGGGCUAGGAUGAGAUUUGAAAAAAAUAGGCAGGACAGGAGUUUUGAGUAAAAAAAAAGGCAGGAUGAGACGCUUGCAAAAAAAAAAGUCAGGACGACAAUUUAGGUAAAAAAAAGUCAGGAUAAACUAAAAAAAAGGCAGGACCGAACAGAGUGAAAAAUAAAAAGGCAGGACAGAGAUUACAGCUAAAAAAUGCAGGACAAAAUUUUUCAUCCUAGCCCC
rnacentral:lncRNA from 1 species